rnacentral:rRNA from 1 species
AUGCUUCCUUAUGAGAUCUUUGCUGCUACUUUCCAUUGUGUUAUAGCAUCAAUUCAGCUAGACUUGAAAAAGUAUUUGCUUGGACAUGAUCAUACAUACAUUGUUGGUGGCAUUGCUCUCAUUCCUGAUGAUGACACUUAUUUUCCUUAUGCUAGUCCUAUGCUUAAUGAAACAUAUUAUUCCCAUGCUAGUCUUGAGCUUAAUGAUAAAUUUCAUCCUCAUGUUAGUGUCGACCUUGCUGAUUUCUACCAUCCUAAACAUGUGCUUUAUAGCUAUGCUUAUGUAAUUGGAUAUUCGAUUGAUGACUUGGAGGGUAUUAUCCCUACCACUUGCAUUGUCUCUUUCGUUGAAUGCUCUUUCAGGUUUUUGCUUGUGCACGAUCCAUUACAUGCUGACCAGGUUCGAGGUGACAUUCCUUGGGACCCUGGUGGGCUCAGAGCAUGGGGAUGA